rnacentral:piRNA from 1 species
CAGGUCAGAAAAUCCUUAUAGAGCAACAAG